CAAGGGACUCCAACCUAAUUGGAGAUGUAGAUGUAAAGAUGUCAAGAAAGGAGCUCAGGGAGAUUUCCAGGGCCUGAGGUGGUGACCAGAUACAACAUGAGGUCACAUACCUGCUUCUGAAGGAACAGGACUGCUGUGAUGUUCUUAAACUAUUUGGGAUUUGUUUCAAGGUAGAUGGAGUCAUGAUUGCUGAGAAGGGCCACCUGACCAGUACUAUCCCCCGACGAAUGAAGAAGAAGAGGAGAAGAGAGUUUCAGUGGAUAAUCACCAGGGGGAAGCCAUCUGGCAGGAAAGAAGAUGCUCAACAGCCUGAAGAGUGGCCCUGUGGUGAGGGACCAUGGCCCCCUCCCAAAGGCCAUGUGCAUGGAGCACCAGUGGGCUUCUGACCCCACUGAAGACUUCACAUAACCGGAGCUCCUGCCACAUCCUGCCCACGCCCCUCUGAGAAACACUGAAGUCACAACUUCGAUUAAGCUGCUGUCAUGUUCCUGAUUGACAGAGCCUGUGUGAGGAUAGAAAUUCAUCACUUUAAACCCCUGAGCUUUGGCAUAAUUUUUUCAUACAGCAAUAAACAAUGAAUUCAGUUCCCUUUGUUCUCUUAGAUCCAAUUUCCCCAACUUCAAAGUUCCUAAAGAUCCAACUACAUUCAAAACACACUGAGAGCUGAACAGAGAUUUCUUCUCCCAAGGCUCUGAUAAUUUUUCAUAACUUCAUUUCCAAUCCUUAUCCACCUCCUUUCUUUGACAGAUUAAAAAGUAGCUUCUUUCUUUCACCAAGCUUGCUAUCGUUCAGGCCCAUUAUCUUUGAGAUGUAAAGAUUGUAAAUAAAGGGUGAUUGCCACUUUCAUGA